GACGAACCGAGCGAACGUUGUCCGGAAUCAUUGGGCGUAAAGCGCGUGUAGGCGGCCCGGUAAGUCCGCUGUGAAAGUCGGGGGGCUCAACCCUGGGAUGCCGGUCGAUACUGCCGGACUAGAGUUCGGAAGAGGCGAGUGGAAUUCCUGGUGUAGCGGUGAAAUGCGCAGAUAUCAGGAGGAACACCAUUAUGAAGGCAGCUCGCUGGGGACGUAACUGACGCUGAGACGCGAAAAGCGUGGGGGAGCAAACAGG
rnacentral:rRNA from 1 species